rnacentral:rRNA from 1 species
CAAGUCGAACGAAGUAGCAAUACUUAGUGGCAGACGGGUGAGUAACAUGUGGGUAUUUUCCCUUUGGUGAGGAAUAACACGAGGAAACUUGUGCUAAUACCUCAUAAGUCUUUACGGAGAAAGCUUUAUGCGCCAAUGGAUGAGCCCGCACUUGAUUAGUUUGUUGGUGGGGUAACGGCCUACCAAGACGGUGAUCAAUAGCUGAUCUGAGAGGAUGAUCAGCCACAUUGGGACUGAGACACGGCCCAAACUCCUACGGGAGGCAGCAGUAGGGAAUAUUGCACAAUGGAGGAAACUCUGAUGCAGCGAUGCCGCGUGAGUGAAGAAGGCCUUUGGGUUGUAAAGCUCUUUCGUCGGGGAAGAAAAUGACUGUACCCGAAUAAGAAGGUCCGGCUAACUUCGUGCCAGCAGCCGCGGUAAUACGAAGGGACCUAGCGUAGUUCGGAAUUACUGGGCUUAAAGAGUUCGUAGGUGGUUAAAAAAGUUGGUGGUGAAAUCCCAGAGCUUAACUCUGGAACUGCCAUCAAAACUUUUUAGCUAGAGUAUGAUAGAGGAAAGCAGAAUUUCUAGUGUAGAGGUGAAAUUCGUAGAUAUUAGAAAGAAUACCGAUUGCGAAGGCAGCUUUCUGGAUCAUUACUGACGCUGAGGAACGAAAGCAUGGGUAGCGAAGAGGAUUAGAUACCCUCGUAGUCCAUGCCGUAAACGAUGUGUGUUAGACGUUGGAAAUUUAUUUUCAGCGUCGCAGCAAAAGCAGUAAACACACCGCCUGGGGAGUACGACCGCAAGGUUAAAACUCAAAUGAAUUGACGGGGACCCGCACAAGUAGUGGAGCAUGUGGUUUAAUUCGAAGAUACGCGCAGAACCUUACCAACACUUGACAUGUUCGUCGCGACUCUAAGAGGUUAGAGUCUU